rnacentral:rRNA from 1 species
AUUGAACGCUGGCGGCAGGCUUAACACAUGCAAGUCGAACGCCCCGCAAGGGGAGUGGCAGACGGGUGAGUAACGCGUGGGAAUCUACCCAAUUCUACGGAAUAACCCAGGGAAACUUGGACUAAUACCGUAUACGCCCUACGGGGGAAAGAUUUAUCGGAAUUGGAUGAGCCCGCGUAAGAUUAGCUAGUUGGUGGGGUAAUGGCCUACCAAGGCGACGAUCUUUAGCUGGUCUGAGAGGAUGAUCAGCCACACUGGGACUGAGACACGGCCCAGACUCCUACGGGAGGCAGCAGUGGGGAAUAUUGGACAAUGGGCGCAAGCCUGAUCCAGCCAUGCCGCGUGAGUGAUGAAGGCCUUAGGGUUGUAAAGCUCUUUCAGUGGGGAAGAUAAUGACGGUACCCACAGAAGAAGCCCCGGCUAACUUCGUGCCAGCCGCCGCCGUAAGAC